rnacentral:lncRNA from 1 species
AGCAAAUGUGCAGGCUAUGGAUAAUAAAAGAUAAAUAGGACACGAUGGCUGCCUUGAAAGGAGCCUGGUUCUAAGGAGUGUGACUUGGAGAAAGGUUGCCGAAGACCUAAAGCAUGGUAAUCAAAGGGCUGUCCUCUGUGUCUGACCACCAACUUCAUGCCCACUUCCUCUCUCCCUGGCUCCACUACCCAGCCUGGAAACCUCGGCUUCUCAGUCCCACGUUUCAAAGCUUGAAACAGCUCCUGAAGAAGAGACCUUCAUCCAACAACAAUAAAACAAAAGCCUAGAAUGUUAGCUUUCCUUUGCCUUAAAAUGGCUGCUACUUUUAGCAGCCUCCUCUUUCCCAUAAUGCUCUGUGAUUUAAGAAGACUGCCACAUGGAAUAGCAGCCUCCUUCUCAUAACACCAUGUUCGAAUAUGGCUUCUCCCACCAAAGGACAGUCUUCUUCCCAACAUGCCCCUCUUCCUGCCAAGAAAGGUAAUCUGAUACUUGCUACCUCCUAGCAACUAUUGAUGUCACAAGCUCCUCCUAGCGAUGUCACAGGCUCCUCUAAUCCCUUAAUACUAC